UUGAUCCUGGCUCAGAACGAACGUUAGCGGCGCGCCUAACACAUGCAAGUCGAGCGAGAAGGGAGCAAUCCCAGUAAAAGCGGCGCACGGGUGAGUAACACGUAGGUAAUCUACCUCGAGGUGGUGGAUAACCUUCCGAAAGGAGGGCUAAUACAGCAUGAGACCACGUUUUCGAAAGAGAAUGAGGUCAAAGCGGGCCUCUCUACAGAAGCUCGCGCCACGAGAUGAGCCUGCGGCCCAUCAUGGUAGUUGGUAGGGUAACGGCCGUACCCAAGCCGAAGACGGGUAGCUGGUCUGAGAGGAUGAUCAGCCACACUGGAACUGAGACACGGUCCAGACUCCUACGGGAGGCAGCAGUGGGGAAUCUUGCGCAAUGGGCGAAAGCCUGACGCAGCGACGCCGCGUGAGUGAUGAAGG
rnacentral:rRNA from 1 species